rfam:Penicillium nordicum strain DAOMC 185683 scaffold_19, whole genome shotgun sequence.
GGUUGUGUAGUGUAAUGGCUCAUCACUCUGGUUUCUGAUACCAGCAAUCCCGGUUCGAUCCCGGGCACGACCU